AAACUUGAAGUGUUUACGGUCUAGGGUAGAUGUCCAACAGGGAGCAGGGACUAUCAAUCUGGAACUCAGAGACGAAACCAUGGAGUGACAGUGCAGGUUAAGAGCCUGUUAGGUCCAAAAUGGUGCCCCAGAAAUUCAAGUUAAGUCAAGCCCAUGUUGGAAGACCACCAGUCCUGCUCGGUGAUUAACUUUGAGGAACCUCGGACAAUAUCCUUCUCAGAGUUAAAGUCCAUGAUUGAAAAGUGGCGUAAAAUUUUAUCUGGCUCUGUGCCGGGCCCUGCCAAGCUCUUCUCAAACUCGAUCAGCUGUUGUGUCAGCUUCGAGUCCAGUGUUCUCCAAACAAUCCAAAGAAGUUUCCGGGAUCCUGGCAAGGCUGCCUUCCUGGGGCAGAGCCAUGGUUUCCUCCACCCGUGUGUCAGGACAUAAUUUCACAAACCGGGUAUCUACUUCACCAUUAACAAUGCAGUCAUCUUGAUUUCCAGAACUUACUGACUCAUCCACAGUCCUCAGGGGCCCCAACAGCUCUACAAAACCUUCUGGAAAAAUGCCUCUUCGGCCCUCUAACUCCCCUUCAAACCAGCCUGGUUCAGGAACUCCAAUAAUGGUGAUCACAUCCCCUUCCCUGAAGUCCAGCUCUUCAUCCAGCUGAGCAGAAAGCCCCAUUAGGGCCCGGGCUUGUCCCAUGGAAUAUUCCGGAAUCUGAAACAGGGCGCUCUGGGAGUGCCACUGCCGGCUCUGUGAGGAGAGGCAGAGCUCGCGGACACAUGAAGAUGGGAAGAAGCCCCGUGCGCCCCAGCAGCUUCGGCCCUGCAGCCAGCCUGCAGUGGGAAUGCCAUCGAGAAUCACCAGGUCACCUAAAGAAAAGAGGAGCAGAGAUGGUGACCUCAGUCAUCACCCAGCAGAACAUUAUCACGACUAAUAGUGCAACCUCUCAUUUUAAACAGCUACCAAAUUCAAGGAAAUACACCUAGAGCUUUAGGAGCAUGAACAAUUUUGACAAUUUAUUGAAUUGGAGCAGUUCUAUAAACCUGUAGUUUUCAGAGUGUUCCAUGGAACCCUACAGGUGGGUCUCCAAGAUCCUAGCAGAGAAUCUGUGAGGUCAAAACCAUUCUCAUAAUAACACUAAGACUUUAUCUACAUAUUUUACUCUGCUGACUUUUGUAAUCUCUGUGAAAAAGCAAUGGUGAUUAAAACUGCUGGCCAGCUAGGUGCUGUGGCUUACACCAGAAAUCCGAGCACUUUGGGAGGCCAAGGCAGGAGGAUCGCUUGAGACCAGGAGUUCAAAACCAGCCUGGGCAACAUGUCAAGACCUUGUCUCUACAAUAAAUUUAAAAAUUAGCUGUGCACUGUGGCUCAUGCCUGUAGUCCCAGCUAUUCAGGAGGCUGAGGUGGGAGGAUAGCUUGAACCCAGGAGGUCAAGGCUGCAGUAAGCUGUGAUUUCACCACUACGCUCCAGUCUGGGUGACAGAGCAACACUUGUCUCAAAAAUAAAAAUAAAAUGGCUGGGCGCGAUGGCUCAUGCCUGUGAUCCCAGCACUUUGGGAGGCCAAGGCAGGCGGAUCACUUGAGGUCAGGAGUUCGAGAGCAGCCUGGUCAACAUGGUGAAACACCAUCUCUACUAAAAAUACAAAAAUUAGCUGAGCAUGGUGGCACGUGCCUGUAGUCCCAGCUAUUCAGGAGGCUGAGGCAGAAAUUAAACUCAGGAGGCAGAGGUCGCAGUGAGCCGAGAUCGCACCACUGCACUCCAGCUUGGGCAACAGAGCAAGACUCCAUCUCAAAAAAAUAAUAAAUUAAUUAAAAACUGCUGGCAAUUCAUAAGCAAAGGCAGUAGCCACAAAUUACAUGAAUAGUCACUGUAUGGUCAUCGUAUUCUUCACAACCAUGUACUCACAGUUUUUAAAAAAGCCAUUUUCAGUUAAGAAGCAAUACAAAUUAUGCACUGUGCUAAAUCUCAACCCUUAAGAACAAUUCUUUUGUAAUAUUCUGUGUGACAAUAUAGGAAUUACACAUAAAGCACUUUUACUGCUGAG
rnacentral:lncRNA from 1 species